CACACAUGCACCUUCUCCAUGGUUCUCUGAGGCACAGCAGUGGUGAUGGCAGCAGGGCAGAUGGCAAGCACACUGGGCAGCAGCGGUAACAAGACACAGGGGCACAGCCGGGCAGAUAGCAGAAUUCCUGCAAAGAUCGAUAUGACGAAGUCUGUACUGCUUCCUUCCUGCACCUCAUCUAAGGCUGUCAGGAGAACGUGUGUGUGUGUAUAAGAAUGCGUCCACACUAAUAUUUUAAAAUGUCAUUUCACUUGUC